rnacentral:lncRNA from 1 species
CCAAUUCUAUGGAAAGACUGUCUUCCAUGAAACUAGACCCUGGUGCCAAAAAGCUUAGGGUGCACUGUAUUCAACUAAACACCUAGGACCACCUAGGUUGGCCCUCUAUUUUUCUUAUGUUCAUUAUCUCUUUCUAACUAUCCUCCAUCUUUUUAUCUUUUUGCAAAACUUACUCCACUAUAUUCUAACUGUGUGAGCAUGCCUAAGUUACUUCCCUUUUAAGUCUUUGUUUCCUUAUCUAUAAACCCAUAAGUAAACUGAAAGGGUUGUAAAAUGUCAGUACCCUUUUCUAACCCCAUGAAGGAAUCACUAUUCCAUCAGUGCUCAAUAAAUAUUAAUUGCUAUCACUGUUACUACUAUCACUACCACCACCUUCUACUACUUUAUUAAUACUGGUAAUAUGAAGUGAUCCAUUCUGCGUCAUAGCUGCUUAAUCAUGGGGGGUCAGCAAGCUAAUCUAGCUGGGUAAUCUGCCCCUUCCCCCAAGAGUUUGGGCUCAGGGCGAAACAUGAGGUCUCUAUAGUCUCUUUCCAAUAGUUGAACUAGUAAGACAUGAAAUUUUCCGUUAUUUAAAAGUAUCAGAGCUAUGCCCCAGUCUUUUCUAUAGAAUGAAUCAUAGCUGAGAAAAAUGUAUACAAAAAAUAAGACAUUUCUAUUGGCUGGCUGACUACUAGUCACACUUUGGCUAUAGGGGAAUACAUAAAAUUCCUAGACUCCCUCCUAGCAAAUAGCAAGCUUGGGAGUUUUUCAGCCUAUACUUCUCUAUUAAAUCCUUUUAUCUUCCUUUCUUCAUCAGUUCCUUCAGCUAUCAGCUUUCCUUGGACUCAGUAAGAAACUGAGAAUCAUAUCAUACCAACUGUCUAAAGACACUCUAAAGCUCUUAAGUUGAACUUUCACAGACAGCAUAAUCACUGCUAUCUGCUAUCCUUUCUACUAGUCUCCACAUCCAAUGUUAUUUUCAGUCUUUUUACCACACAUCUCCACGUGAAACCCAGAUAGACUCUAAGGUAACCACUGUGAUUCCCACCUCCAGGUAUUCAAACCAUUGGGUAAUUCUCCCUGCUUGAGUAUGAGUAUGACCUAUCACUUCCUUCUAACCAACAGAAUAUGGCAAAGGUGACAGCGUAUGUAUGAUUACAUUCCACAAGAAUAUAAUGUCCUUCUUACCAGAAGACCCUCUCUUCCUUACUGGCUUUGAAGAAGCUGUCAUGAAUGUGAACUACCUAUAAAGAAGGCUAUGUGAAAGCAACUAAAUCUGUCAACAAUCACAUGGGCUUGGAAGCAGAUCCUUCCCUAAUUGAGCUUCUGAUAAGACCUUGGCCCUAACCAACACCUUGAUUACAGCGCCUUGCAAAGGACCCAGCUAAAUGUGACUGGACUCCUCACCCAAAGAAACUGUGAGGUAAUAAACAUGCAUUGUGCUAAGCCACUAAGUUUGUGGCAAUCUGUCAUGCAGCAAUAGAUGACUAAUGCACUCAGCUAGCAGCUCAGCUUAUACCAUUCAUUAUAAAAAAAAUUUACUGAGCAUCACCUACCAAGUGCCAGACAACAAUAUACUAUUCUAAGCACUAAGGAUAGAGUAAUGAAUGAAAUAGAGGAAGACUCUGCUCAUGUCAGUCAAUAAACAAAAUAAAUAUCUAAUAUAGAGUCAAUUAGUGAUGCGGAUAUUUGAGCAAGGACUGAAUGGAAUGAGAAAAUGUGCCAUGGAAAGAUCCUGGGGGAGAAUAAGUAGACAGCAAGAGUUAAAGCCUGGAAACAGGAGUAUGGCAAGUCCAAGGAACAGAGAACUCUGAGGAUAGGUCAUACAGAGUCUUACAGAAAUCUCUUUAAGUGUGACAGCCUUGAAAGUGUUUUCAGUAGGAACUGACAUGAUUUAGUAUGUUUUUAAAAAAUCAUUCUGGCUGUUGUGUGGAAAACACAAUGGGUUAAGGGGAAGAAGAGACGCAGAAAGACCAAUUAGGACACUACUUAAGAUGAGAAAACAGGCAAAGGGAAAUUAAAUGUAACUUGCUUAAUUAUACAGAAAGCAAGAAACAGAGCUGAGAAUUGAACCCUGGCAGUCCAGCUGCAGAAUCCAUAUUCCAAACCACUGUACAGACUGCCUCCUAGAAAGAAACCCUCCUGCCAAGGAAUUUUCUUCCCUUACAGUAUCAUCCUUCUGCCAUCAAGAAUGUAAGUAUGAAGAAUGUUCCGACACUGCUCCAGGACUGUCUUUCAAGCCACUGACAACCAUCCUGCAAAUUUUGAUACUGGUGCCUGUUUGGUGUCCCUAGAGGAUCUAAAUGAAGAUGUGAAAACAACAACUAAGAAAAUAUUUUAAAUGGCAAUUACUCAACACGAGAAGUUAAAACAAUGUCCACACUGAGACUGAAAUGACAGCAACAGAAACAGCAAGUCAGAGCCAUGCCUGUACAAUGACAACUAGAUCAAAACUGCCACCUGGCCAAAAGCAAUACUCAGAUGCUAUUAACUGUAAGACAGUUAAUGUUAUGUUAUGAGGUGAAAAAAAAAAUUACAUCUUAGAAGAAAUACGGCAGCUUUUUCUUUUGUCCUCUCUCAAAGUCCUUUCUGAUGCUCCCCAUCACUUGCCCCCAGUAUCUGUCAUUCUAACCCCUCCUUUGUUCUCAUUCUUUUAACUCUUUUUUUUUUCUUUUCUCUUUCUGCAUUUCUCAUAGCUUCUCCUAUAUUCCUCAGUGUUGCUUUUGGAGAAACUUGAUAAACUACCUAAUGAAAAUGAACUUUCCUUCUGUCUCAAAAAGAACCCAAUUAGCAUGGAAUACAUGAUUUGUAUCCUUGGUACUUUCAGGUGCUCCAGGGCUUGCUUACUUCUGAGUUCUCUAGUAAGUCAAGGGAAGAUGCAUUUGACAGUCCACAUAGGUGAAAUAAUGCCCUAGACAAUCUGGCUUCUGAGCAGAUUCUAUUUGCACCUCUGUAAUCCUCAUCCUGAGCCACCUAACAUACCUAUCCUAAAGUACACCAGUGGGAAUAAUAUAUAUUAAUAUAUACCAAUAUAAUAAGAUAUAUUUAUAUAUAUCUAAACAUAUUAAGAGGUAAUAUAUUUAGUUCCUAAGAAAACCAAAAAGUCAAUAGGCUUCAAGGAACUUAAAUCGUCAAGCUAUUUUCUUUUGCAAUAAACCUCCAUAGAAACCUAUUGUAAAACAGUUGUUUAUAAAUGUUAAUCUUAUUUCAAUAACAUAAUCAGGGAUAGAAGACAAAUUCUGCCUUCUCUUUUUUGCUCUUACUAGGGCCGUA